rnacentral:piRNA from 1 species
UCUAGGAAAAAAAACGAACUUUAAAGGC